CGGUUCCGCCAUUUGAAAAAAAACGUUCGUAACUGCUCAGCUGAACCCGAAGCUUGAUGAAGAAGGCCGUCAAUAUUUCAACAAAAACUAACAGAAUAUGGAUCAGAUUCGGACAACGACUUCUUAAGACAUUCACACAACAGGCUAAACAAUUCAAAGAGGGAUCUCUGGAUGAUCGAGCAGCAAGUCCAGCAUUAUGUGGGAAAGAUACUACAGGUGUACACAGAAAAGGCCAUGUUCUUGUACAAGACACGGUUGGAGUUCAUAAAAGAUUAAGCUGCCUCGUGCUAUACAGACUUGGAUAAAAACAAGCUGUCCAAUGAAUGGUGACUACUCAAGAGGAGCCAGAAAGUCAACUAAAGCCAGGGUAUUUUGGGAGUUGAUAUGGCCGGGGAAGGGGGGAGGGGGGGUUUCCAGGGCCCCCCCCCCCCUUCCUUGAGAUCUUGACCGCACAAUCGCGUCUAACAUUGGCACAUGGGUUGUCUAGGGCAUAAUUUACAAAAUUAAAUUGUAAAUUAUUUCACGCAAAUUGUUAGUAAGUGAUAAUACUAAUUUAUGCGUAAUUAGAAUACAAAAUCAUACUUUUUCCUCUAUUGCAUUGACUUUGUACACAAAAUCACGUUUUUGAGCAAUUUUUGGUAUGACAUGUACUUACAUAAUGUCACGUUAUUACAGAACCACGUACCGGGUGACACAAGAUUGGUCUCAAAAGAUGCACAAGACUAGAAAGAGGCAUGUUUUAAAAAAAUUGUGCGGCAGCAUGGUCGCAAAAUUUCUGGAAGGGGGGGGGGGUCAAAUUGGUCCAAUUUAACUAAGGGUUAAUAACUGGGAGGCUGUUAGCUGCCUUUUUACUUUCAAGUCUUGCACAUCUUUUGAGACCAAAUUUGUGAUGCCUGGGUACGCUGUUCCGAAAUUUCGCAACAUUUUUAUGUAUUAAUCCAACACAAAUACUGUUUCUUGCUAAAAAUUCACAAUUAGUAUACCAGUAAUAUACAUUUAUCAAGUCAAAUUAUUUAAUUACAUUUAUAAUCAUAAAAGCUUUGAUAAAGUAUUAAAAAAACCAAAGAGUUGUAUGUAGGCCUGGGACUUUCGGGUUUUUUCUCUUCGGGUACCCGUGGUAAUUUUCGGGUGGGUACCUGAAAAUCAUGUCACUUGAAAUAUGACUGGUGGAAACACCCCAUAGGUGACGUCAUCAAGCCAAUGCGAUGCAAGCCAAUUUAUGAAUGAAAAUAUAGUAAGCAUGCGCAUUGCAAGCCUCCCGUGCCCCACGCAGUAUUCCAUCGAAACAAGUUUCAAUACUCUGUCACCUCGUACCAAAAUCGACCUAGAAUUCCACUUUCCUAUAUAUCAUAUGAAUUAUAAAAGGUUUUCUCACCGAUACUGCACAGGUAAGCAAAUUUUUAUUCUUGCUUUUCCGUCAAAAUCUUACGAAGUAGCAUCGAUAUUACAUCGUGUUCGUGAGUUUGUAUCGCUACGUGAACAAAGUCAAUUGAUUUCCGGGUUUCGGAGCGUCAAAUGCGCCAGCCAAUCACGAUCGUGUUCCCAUUUUCGGUUUAUGAUGAACUAAAAAUGGUAACAAGAACGUGAUUGGCUGGUGCUUCGUAGGUCGAUUUUGGUAUGAGGUGACAGAGUAUUGCAGACUUGUUUUGACGUAAUACUGCGUGGGGCUGAGGCUUGCAAUGCGCAUGCUUACUAUAUUUUCAUUCAUAAAUUGGUUUGCGUCGCAGUGGCUGGAUGACGUCACUGCGCUGCAAAAGAAACAUGGCGAUGAUUGAACGAUCUCGGUCACAUCAUCAUCACUUGAAAACUUGUAUAUUUAUGGAUAUUUAGAGGGUAAUUGGUGAAAUUCAAAAUGAGGCUUGUGUACUUUUGUAAUGAGUUACAAUCAUGUCUUACACUACGCAAUACAAAUCAAAUACAUGUACAUUAUACUGGUGAGCAAUUUUCGGGUAUCGGGUAUUGAUUUUUCUACUCGGGUACCCGGGUUUUAGUCCCAGCCCUAGUUGUAUGAAAAUUUUCAAAAAUAAUGAAAGGUAAAAGAAAACAAGAUUACAAUGUCCAUUGCAAGGGGGCUAGUCUAGCUAUUCAGGAUAAUUGGGAUUUUAUUCAGUUUUUAAUUGACAUAACAUUAUGACAAGAUCCCUCCAGUUAGUGUAUAAACAGCACAUGGCCAUGAUUGAAAUUCAUAUAACAUUAAAGUAUGCAAACCAGGCAGCUACAUGUACAUGUAGGACUCACUGCUUGUCAAUUCUAUUGUCUGCCAGGGUCAAGUGACAUACAGUGCACAUGUAUAACAUGUGUGAAAGUACAUAAGAAAAUCAGCUUUUUAUUUGUGUACUGUAACAUUGGGUGAACUGGUGAUCACUUUGGAUAUGAUGCUCUUCAUAUUGGUUUAUUUUAUGUAUAUGAAUUUUUGGAUAAUCAUUAAGAAUUAAAGCCAUUUACUUAAUAUAUGGAAGCAUAAGACCAUCAAAGAACAGAAUUAUGUCAUGUACAGCUAAUUCAUUUUGCGUGAUAUUACAAUUGUAAUUGUUUACUUGAGCAAGUAAUUUGAAUUGCUGCAUGACCUAAACAAUGACAUGUUCCAAUUCGAAUAGUAACAUGACCUAAAGAAGAGUUACUCCACCUCGAUUGAGAGUGCUUAUGUUAAAUAAUUGAUGUUGCUACUUCAAAUAAUUGAGGUCAAUCAAAUUGGUCAUAAUUAUUCAAGUCAAUUUUGAGCUAUAUGUCAUAAUUAAUUAGGUCAUAUACUAAUUGAAAUUACUAAAUGACUCGAGUAGGUAUGAAUUCACAUUGCCACAUGACCUUAAUUAUUUUAUGUAGCAACAUCAAGUAUUGAACGUCAUUUAGUUAUCAAUUAUGACAUGUAGCAAAUCAAAUUACAUGCCGCAAUUUCGUGUUUAUGAUGGGCUCAUGCUUACAUUCAUAUAUAACCCUUCAAUACGUAGUUGGAGCAAUUCUUAGACAAGAAGACUGUGUAAAAUGAUAUGCCUAUUCAAUGUCAAAAAGGUUAAUGUCUCAAUAGAUUUGAUCUACGUUUUGGCAAAGUAAUCUUAUGUAAAUAUUUUUUCUAACCUAUGGUGAACGUUCUAAAUCAUGUGAAAUUCAUUCAAAAAUAUCUUUCAGUAUUUAUGGACUUAAGUGAAUUCUGAGCAAAAUGAAGUGAUUAUGAUUACGUUCAUGUACUUUAAGUUUAUACUGGUGAUCAACACAUCAUAAUUUCAUCCCUUACUGUAUGUGCACCAUGCAUUAUCUGUACAUGCAGAAGUGGUUAUCCAUUGUUUCAUAACAUGGUUGAGUAAAGGAUGUUCUGCUUUUAGUAUUAAGCCAAUCGGGUGUUGACAAGAAGGGGAAAAUGCAAUUGCUCAGCUAUUACAGUUUUUUUUGCAACCAUAAUACUGGUUAAGCCUUGGUUACAUUCGCCGGCUCAUGGCCUUACGUCGAGUCAAAAUUAACAGUCUUAAUCAUCCUUGUACCAGCUACUACCAGCUACACGUGGGUGGUUUGUACAGGAAUACCUAAAACUGCUGAUUUUGUCUCGCCGUAAGGCAACCGGUCAAGGAAUGUGACCAAGGUAUUAAUAAUAAUCGCUUAUUGUUGUGUUAGAGGGAAGGAUUCUGGGUCGAAUCUAGCUUUCUUUAUGUGAUCUCAAAAUGGCAGCAAUGUAUGAAUAGUGAAAGUAGUUCAUGUGGCAUCUCAAUGUUCAUGGAUAUAAAUCUUUGUACAUGUCUUAUCCUAAAGAUGAAAUGUUACUGCAUUAUUCUAGCAGUCAUUUAUGAUAUCAAAGAUGUUCUAUACUGUGCAUAGUACAGCUCAUACAUAAUAAAGGUAUGUGAAUAUGCUUUUAA